rnacentral:rRNA from 1 species
UACGUAGGGGGCAAGCGUUGUCCGGAAUUACUGGGUGUAAAGCGCGUGUAGGCGGGAGGCCAAGUCUGCGGUGAAAUCGCUCGGCUCAACUGGGCGGGGUCCGUGGAAACUGGUCACCUGGAGGACGGUAGAGGCGAGUGGAAUUCCCGGUGUAGUGGUGAAAUGCGUAGAGAUCGGGAGGAACACCAGUGGCGAAGGCGGCUCGCUGGGCCGGACCGUGACGCUGAGACGCGAAGGCGUGGGGAGCGAACGGG